rnacentral:piRNA from 1 species
UAGUAUACAAGGAAAUCUGCUGUCAAGGA